UGGGGAGUUAGCUCAGCCGGUUAGAGCAGGGGACUCAUAAUCCCUUGGUCGCGGGUUCGAGCCCCGCACUCCCUACGGC
rnacentral:tRNA from 1 species